AAAUUUUGUCUUUUUGAAGGUUAUAAGGUAUGUAAAAGAUGUAUUUGGUUGAUUAAAAAUAAGGGCAAGCAAAAAGGGAAAAAAAUUCCCCUAAGUGCACAAAAUAGCGGCUCUCCGCGAUGAGGUCCACGUCGCACUAUAAAAAAUAUCUUGGAUGCAAAUUUUAGUUAGCCUCCAUGAUAGCCUUGCGUUGUGAAAUUUAUCACAGAGAGAAACCUCUAUAUCACAGAGGGUAUUUUUUUUUAGAUUUCACUUUAAAUGGCUGGGUAUUACCCAAGCUCACCUCCCAUGACCCGAUUUCCCAUCUUUACUCCCCUAUAAUUUCCCAUUGCCCUUCCCUAUUUCUAAAUCCAGUGUGUUGUCCCUCUACAAAUAUUUCUCCAAAUUCUCUCAACUUCCAAGCGCAUCGCGACAAGCAUACCCAUAAUCUUCAAUCUUCUUCUCUACAUCUUCAAAAAACAUAUGUUCCCAACUUAUUCCAUUUCUCCUUUUCACAUAAUGUUAGUUAGAAUCUGAUAUAGUUCACAAUUAUUUUAGUGGUGUGCUUGAUCUUUAGUUAGUUAGGAUAUUUUCACUGGUGCUUUAGUCCCUCCCAAAGAACUUCUUGUGUGUCUGAGCUUGUAUGCUUUAAAUUUUCUUUCUCUUAAACUGUGUAAGGGAAAUUAAUGAAGCUUAGAGUCACAAUAGAAUAGUACAUGUUCUUUUCUCAAAUCCAAAGAUUACAGUGGAUGUUUUCUAUGUAUAUGAUGCUUACUCUAAUUAACUCAUGGAUUAGAUAUUGUGAACAUGUGAGUGUGGGAUGAAAAAGGGAAGUGUACCAUGGACCACUAACAACAAAAAGAAAAGGAUAUUUUUGGCCCAUUUGAUCCCUCAAAGAAAAGAAAUAGGCAAACUAAAAGAGUACUGAGAGCUCCUGCAGUUCCCCAUGGUAAGUCUCAGUGAUACGUAACCAGAUGGGUCAAAAAAACUAACAAGAAAUAGUAUACAAAGCAUAAUGAGAUAAAAUAUUUCACGAAAGAGUUCAUUAACCGAGCAAGUUUGAUGAAGGAGUACCCUAGUAUGGUGACAAGGCUGGAACAGCUGCAUAUGAAGUUCAUAUUUCAGCAGCCCACAGAAUGCAAUUUGCAUCUUCUUUGGGAGUCUUAUGCUUAUUACGACCCAGGAUCCUGAUUCUGAGGUGAAGUUCCGUGGAUAGGUAUUGACUUUUUCAGCCAAUCUCUUGAAUUGAAUUAAAGGCAUCCCUGCGAGAGAUGCAGCCCCUCUAAAACAGCUAAGAAUAACCCCACCAUAUGAAGACAUAACACCCAUUUUAUGGAAAGAAGUCUACAGCUUAAUGGAAUCAUCAUAGAGAUAGUGGCCUUCACCUUACUUUUUUGUAUGCUCAAAUAAAUAGGGAGGCACGUAUGUGGAUGAAGAUUAUCUGUCAUUUCCUAAUUCUAGGAAAACACAUCAUGUAUGUUACUCAUGACAUGGUAUGUCUAGUUUAUGCUUUAAUGCAGGAUGAUAUUUAUAUAAAUGUGGCUGUUGUUAUAUUGUCUAUAAUAAUGAAGGCGCGCUACAAUCAGGGGCAAAGAUAUGGAUUCGAGGGAUAGCUGACAAAGUUUUAAUGAAAGGGGGUUAAAGAUGAGGCUCUAGAUUAUAGGGCAAUUGUAGAAGCCCUAUAGAUGUGACCAAGACUAGAGAGAUGGAUAUGGAUCAUAGAUUGGUGAAGACUAUGCCCGAGCAUCAAGCUUGGAAUGAUGAGAUUACAGCCAGUAUUUAUGGGCUACAGAGAUCCAACUGAUAGUAGGGGUAGACCUGCUAUGAUUUAGUAGAUUCGUAUUAUCGUGCUAGAUUACCCUCUUGAUCACCAUUCUCGGACUUUUUUGAGAAUAGGCCCAAAAUUUGUAGAGCUUGUUAAUAAUGAUGUACUCACAAAUAAGGAGCACCAUUUGAGAAAUUUUGAUAUUGAUUCUGAGGAGGGGGAGGUAGUGGACCCAAAUAUAAGAGUUGAGGCAUACGAUCCCGAUGUCGAUGAUAACAUGAAUGAUUUCGGAUCAGGGAGUGUCACACCACCUUAUUACUUAGUGAUUCCUGUAACAACCGAGGACAAUGCUAUAUUUUAAUGUGGGUGGUGGUUCUUAUUCUUUGUAGCUCUAAUUUUAUUAAUAUUUGUGGACGUUUUGUUAUUCUUGGAUAUUUAUUUUUCUUAUUGUUGAUAUGGUGAUGUGACUUUGAUGA